CUUAAAACAAUCACCAUUUCUUUAGACCACGACUCUUCUGGGCAAUUCUGGUCUGAGCUGGGCUGAUCUCUGUUGGGUUCACUGGUGUGCAUAUGGGCUGGCCUGGAUGGCCCCAAUCACAUUUCUGGUGGUUGGCUGAAGCCAUGAGAGCGACUAGGCCGUGUGUCUCUCAUAAUCUAGCAGGCUAGCUCGGCUGGCCGGGUACCAAAAGCAGCCAGAGGGCAACAAUCAAAGCACACAAGCUUUUCAAGCCCCUGUUCCUUUAUAUUUACUAAUGUCUCAUUGGCCAAAGAAAGUCAUAUGGCCUACUCGGGUCAAGCAGUGGAGAAACAGACUCCUGGACUCCAUUCCACCUCUGCAUCGGAGUUCAGCAGGGAAAAAUGUGUGGCCGUUUUUUCUUUCAUCUGCUACAACUUGAAUAGCCUCUCCCCUCUGUUCCCCUAUCCCUCACGAAGACACAUACACUAACAUUUGAUUUACACACCUGGUUCAAAGCUUCAGGAGAGCGUCCUUCUUGAACGCAACACCCAAUUAAGCUCAUGUUACUCAGUCUCUCUGUAUUUCUACCAACUUGGACCUGUUGUUCUCCUGUCAUUUCCCUUUGUCACUUGGCAGAAUUUUGGAGUUUGCCUAACCUCCCCAUUUUGCAAAUGAGGAAAUUGUGGCCCAGAAAGGAAAAAUGAUUUGGGCAACACCACCCAUCAAAUCAGUGGGAUGCCUGAGACCUCAGCCUCCAAAUUCUAAGUGUGGACCUCCAGCCCCCACAUCAGACACCUCGCGAAGUCACUGCAUGCCUGUCGUCUACCACACAAAACUAAGUGGAAAAUGCCUGAAAGACUUAAUAGAAGGGCAUUAGCAUACCUGUCAAGUCUUCCAUUUAAACUUCGAAGCAAGUGAAGUUUAAAAUGCCUCCUUCAGCCCACAGUGGAUUUAGCUUCAAACUUUGGUUUAAGAAAAAGAAAAGAAAAAAAGCAGAAGGAGGGGGAGUCUCUGCGGGUCUGCGUGACGAAGCAGAGAAUGUUCUCGGAUUGCAACCUCUUCCAACACUCUCCUCCUGCGUCCAGGAAGUGUACCUGGGUUAAGGACAGUGUGAGGCGAGUCUCGGGGCUGACUGAGGAGUGACCUUUCCUUGUCUCAGAUUUACGGACUGGAUGGAGCCCCAGGAGGUCAAUUAGUCCAUUCCCCUGCCCCUCAAAAGAUCUGUUGCCCAAAGCAGGGCAUUGAACCACUCUGGGUAGACAGAAAGACCAAGGCAAAGAGCGGCAGUGGGAGGAUAGAUUCCUGGGCUCAGCCAACGUAGACCAUUCUGGACUGAAUUCGGAUGUCCCGUUUCUCUGAAUGGCCUGGAUUGUGUGUGUGGACAGCUCAGCAUGUGUAGAUAACUGCACAGCUCUGUUCUUUGCCCUGGUGGGGUG
rnacentral:lncRNA from 1 species